rnacentral:rRNA from 1 species
UACAGAGGGUGCAAGCGUUGUUCGGAAUUACUGGGCGUAAAGCGCGCGCAGGCGGCCUUUCAAGUCAGGGGUGAAAUCCCAGAGCUCAACUCUGGAAUUGCCUCUGAGACUGUGAGGCUUCGAGUACGGGAGAGGUGAGUGGAAUUCCCAGUGUAGAGGUGAAAUUCGUAGAUAUUCGCAAGAACACCAGUGGCGAAGGCGGCUCACUGGCCCGGUACUGACGCUGAGGUGCGAAAGCGUGGGGAGCAAACAGG